GCCGGGCGUGGUGGUGCAUGCCUGUAGUCCCAGCUACUCAGGGAGGCUGAGGUGGGAGGAUUGCUUGAGCCCGGGAGGUUCAGAUUGCAGUGAGCCGUGAUUGUGCCACUGCACCACAGCCUGGGCAACAGAGUGAGACCCUGUCUCAA
ensembl:misc_RNA Metazoa_SRP Metazoan signal recognition particle RNA